rnacentral:rRNA from 1 species
GACGAACCGUGCGAACGUUGUUCGGAAUCACUGGGCUUAAGGGGCGCGUAGGCGGCAAAUCAAGUCCGGGGUGAAAGCCCUCAGCUCAACCCGGGAAGUGCACUCGAUACUGCGUAGCUUGAGUACCGGAGAGGUUGGUGGAAUUCUCGGUGUAGAGGUGAAAUUCGUAGAUAUCGAGAGGAACACCGGUGGCGAAGGCGGCCAACUGGACGAGUACUGACGCUGAGACGCGAAAGCGUGGGGAGCAAACAGG